rnacentral:lncRNA from 1 species
GGCCUGGCCACCCUGGGCCCGAUGCGAGGUCCUCUCUGCUCCGUGUUGACAGGUGGAUGCACGUGGAGAAGUAGAAAGUCACGGUUGAAUUGGCAGCACAUUUCACUGGGAUCCUCCAUUCGAUGAACUCUAUAAAUACAUUAAGCUUUGAUAAGAUCAUCAGAACACUCAGGGUACCAUUUCCCUCUUACCUCUGGUCUUCUCGAUCUGGAAACCUAGGAAGUAUCAGGAUUUUCUUGUCAUGUAGCCAACUGGAACGAAUUCGGCUGCUCUUUUCACCUCUGCCCUUCAUGAUCAUGAAGAUAAUUAUCUCAGUGGAGACCUUUGACUAAGACACUUAAGAGCCCGGGGCGCCUGGGUGGCACAGCGGUUAAGCGUCUGCCUUCGGCUCAGGGCGUGGUCCCGGCGUUAUGGGAUCGAGCCCCACAUCAGGCUCUUCUACUAUGAGCCUGCUUCUUCCUCUCCCACUCCCCCUGCUUGUGUUCCCUCUCUCACUGGCUGUUUCUAUCUCUGUCAAAUAAAUAAAUAAAAUCUUAAAAAAAAAAAGACA